rnacentral:snRNA from 1 species
AUACUUACCUGGCAGUGGAGAUACCAUGAUCAUGAAGGUGGUUUUCCCAGGGCGAGGCUUAUCCAUUGCCCUGAGGAUGAGCUGACCUCUGUGAUUUCCUCAAAUGUGGGAAACUCAACUGCAUAAUUUAUGGUAGUGAGAGACGGUGUCCACACUGUCUCCUA